CCUGACAGCAGCAAACCAGAUGAAUCAGGAACUCUUCCACAACUGAGUCACUUUAUACAAUUCCUUUCCUUCCAGGCCUGGGACCACUGCCUUCUAGGAGCACUGUCAGCAUCAGUAGUACAUCAUUACAUGGCCAACUGUUCACCAGCCUUCCAGUGUCUCCAGUCACAGGCCGAACGUCAUAUGCAUGAUGGGAACAUUUGCUUGACGUGACGUGUGCUGCUCUGAGUGGUGAGGAGUGUGGAUUCCAUACACAGAAGGGGAAGCUCAGAAAAGGAACAUGGUUCCCCUGGGAAAAUCCGGAAAGAAAGUGUUGAGCUGUGGGAUUUACACCAUUUCACUGAAAUGGAAAUAAAAACAAAAGGACGGACUCUCGCUGCCAAACAGAUGAGGAAUGUAAAGCUUUCCAAAAAGGACACUAAAAA